rnacentral:rRNA from 1 species
AGAAACCAACAGGGAUUGCCUCAGUAACGGCGAGUGAAGCGGCAACAGCUCAAAUA